CGCGACCAAUGAUGCAAACUGUUUAUCAUUUCUGACAAAUCUAUGAUUAUCUAAUAAAAAUCACCAUCUUUCGGCUGAGGUUGCA